GACGUAGGAUGCAAGCGUUGUCCGGAUUUAUUGGGCGUAAAGAGUUCGUAGGUGGUUCGUUAAGUCUGAUGUUAAAGACUGGGGCUCAACCCUGGAAGUGCAUUGGAUACUGGCGGACUUGAGUGUGGUAGAGGCAAUCGGAAUUCCAGGUGUAGCGGUGAAAUGCGCAGAUAUCAGGAAGAACACCAUAGUGGCAAGGCAGCACUCUGGGACGGUACUGACGCUGAGACGCGAAAGCGUGGGGAGCGAACAGG
rnacentral:rRNA from 1 species